rnacentral:lncRNA from 1 species
UACUUUGUUUGGCAGAGAAUGAGUGGGCUGGCAGUGUGGUGCAGUAAGGUAGAUACAAUGACGUCAGUCAUUUCAGUUCCAGCUAUGCCCAAAUGACUUUGUACUGCUGUAUAGGAACCACUGGAGCAUCAGGUUCUUGUUUGGUUCCUACCUCCUGAAUCUGUAACAGUUCAUCUUUUACUGGAGUCCGUUGAAGUUUGCAGCUAUCCAAAGUAGGCCAGGUUCCCUAACUGGUUUUGAGCAGUAAGUUUGUUAGAUCAUCAUAACAUAAGGCAAGAGUGUUUUAUCCCUUUUUGAUGAUGACAAACUUAACAGUUAUAAAGCCAGACUUGGACAUAAGGACUUUCAGAAAACAACCUCUCUAUCACCUUGGGGUAGGGUAAGGCCUGUAUAUACACUACCCUCCCCAAACCUCACCAGUGAAAUUUGAUUAGGCCGUUGUUGUUGUAACUAAUAACUUUAUAAAUAUUAUUAUUAGUAGAAUUAUACUAAGUAUAAUAAUGUACAUUAUUUUCAUAUAUCAAAUUCUUAUUCCGACGGAUAGACCUUUUCACCAAAUUACAAGUGUAGUUAAUUCCUUAUUAUUCAAAGAAGUAAUUAUUCAUGUAAGACAUUACAUCAUAAUGUAUGAUGUGAUGUUUGUAGUUUUAUAUACGAUGAUGAACUUUUAAAGUAACACGAUAAGACAAAUAAUUAUAUUAAGACAAAAUGAAUUAAUAAACCUAUAAAAGUCAGCAAUAACUCAAAUAAAACAAUAUACAUCCAUGCAUGCAGAUGACAAUGAUUGAAUUAGUAACGUACGUAAAUUGUUCUAUCAAUUCACUUGCUAAGUGAGGCAACUUUGCUAAUGAGAUGAAAACUUGUAUGAGGAAUAUGAAAAGAAAAAGAGACACUUGUGAACAAUCACACCAUAGAAAAGAACAAUCACCUUUAGGCUUCAACCUACCAAUCACAUAGCUAUAUUUGAAACUGAUCAUACAUCAUUGACCCUCUUUUUUAUGUUCUCACACAAAUGUACACGUAAUCUAUAGGUGACAGUUUCGAAUAAUGAAAUUUGUCACUAAUUUUUUCAUUAUAGGUCAUAUGUUCGAGCUGUAAAAUCAGUUAUUGAUAUCUAAAUCACACCUUCUAAUCUUAGAGGUUUGGUUUUCUCUGACAAUGCGUGAACGUAGAAUAUUUCGUGCACCGAAUUGCUCACACCGUAUUCGAUAAAUAUAUUAGGGCCUGACUAAAUUUGAAUGCGCACAAAAUAUCUCAUAUUUUAAGGGAAAAAUAUUCAUUAACAAAAUAAUACCAUACAUAGAGCUCGGACCCGUGGAACCUCUUUAUUUUUCUUCUACAAACUCUCAUUGAUAUAUUAAGAUUACAUCUCUACCUCAAAAGGACUAUUGAGUUGACUAAAAUGAUAAUACAUAUGGAUCCUUCAACAACAAUCCAAUACACUUUUUUGCUAGUCCUUAUGGGCACAUGCUUGCAUGUGAGAAACCACAGGAACGAAUGACUUUGAUCCUUAUUUUCACAUAUAUUGCUCUUCCAAAUUAAAUCUUGUAUCAGAAUUCAUAUAUUUAGCUUCAUAUAUAUUCUGAUAAUCUGAUAAUAUAACUAUUCCUUUUACAUUGUUAAUUUAUACAAAUUAAACUUGUAUUAGAAAAAUAUUAGAAUUUGAAAAUUCCAUGCUACAACAAACUAGUCCUACAUACGUGUAGAGUGUAGACAACUUAGGAGAACAGUGUGUUAUAAACUUAUAAUCAUUAACAAAGGCGAUCUUAUGAUGUUUGGUAGGUGGCUCAAUUAAGAAUAAUAGGUUCACAAAUUUCUUUAGAUUUAAGUAUUAAUUUAUUUAUUUAAUUUCAUUUUUGGACCCACGAUUAAUAAUUAUGGACAUUCUCCAUAUUUUCUGAUUCUCCAAAAGUGGACGAGGAAAAUAAUUAUAUAUUGACAUUCUUAUUAGUAUUUGGUGAAUCAUAAAGUUCUUGAAGUACAUAUUAUUUGAGUUGACUAUUGUCUUCUUUUAUGUAACAUGUUUCCCACCGAGCAACGAGAAAAGCCAAAGACUACAAUAAAAAUAGAAAAACAAUAAUGCAAUUGAGAACAAACAAAUAAGUGAUAAUAAUGGUUAAAGGAUUCAUGAUCAUAGCACCCCUGGAAUAUAAAAAAGAUAAAUAUAUUUUCAUCCUCUUCAUAUAUACUUCAUGAAAUAAAACAAACUCGCAUUUUCAUCAAAUAAUAUAAUUACAUAUAAAAAGGAAUCAUAUUUUUUUGGGUAAUUAACAUUUUAUUAAUCAUCGAUAAUCUUUACAUUUCAUUGCCUGCUUUAUAACUCAUUAGUUAUAUCUAUCAGAACUCAAAAAAAUCAAUUUCAUCCUAUAUAUUAUGUCUAAUGAAAUAUAAAAUGUUGAACUAAACUACUAAAUCUUUUUGUAGCUCUCACAUUAUAUAUAGAGGCUAUUUCUCUAGCUAUACUAUCAACACUUCUGCUUCUCUUUUGAAAUAUUCUCAUGUUCCUUUCAAUCCAGACACCAUGGGUUACCUCUGCAUAAACUAUUCUAUACAAUUGUGCUCCAUAAGAUCUGCCCUUAGUUCUCUGUGUUAUUCAUUUUUUAUGUUGCCGCAUGUCACACUUCCUCAUUACCUACACCCCGAAAGGGUAUAACAGAGUUUUUUUCCAACUUAAAGUAACAAUCGAAACGGGAUUAUUUAUUUAUAAAUUCAAAAUCGUCACUUAGAAUAUUGUCCCAAGUCACUGAUUUUAAAUCCCGAAUAGAGGAAAGAUUAACUCUAUUUUACAAUCUACGAACACAGAAAUCCAGGUAAGAAAUUCUGUUAACCGGGAGAAGAUGUUAGGCAUUCUCGAAUUCUGUGGUUCUAGCACGGUCGCUCAACUGUUAUUAUUGGCUAUUUAUCUGAUUUUUAGAACACAUUUUAAACUUAUGUGCAUUUUAACUUUAAACCGCUUUUAAAUUAUUUUAAGGAGGAUUUCAACAUCAUCUAAAAUACGUCUUUGGACCGGCCCACAUGAAAUGCACCCGCAGUCCGAAACACAUUUUAUUUAAUAUUGUUGAGAUUUGAAUUUGGGUCACAUGAAAUACACACCCGAGUUUAGGAAGGUAAUUUUAAAUUACGCGCCUAAAGCAACUACGCAUUUUCAACUUUGCAAGGGUCAUGAAAAUUCAACUAAAUGGCACGCCUUGAUUUCUAAGGAUUAAAAUAUUAAUUAAGCGAGGGCCACACAUUUUAAGAUUUUUUCCGGCACGGCACACCUCGAUUUAUUCUCACCAAAAGAUUUCUAAAUUAGCUAAUGAGGGCCAUAAAUGACUUAACUAAAGUGGCAAGAGGUACUUAAUUAAUCUUAAGGGUCUACAAGAAAUAAAUUGUCACAAUUAAAAAAAUCGGUAUUUGGGGACCUGGGAUAAAAUCAGACCUAAGAGAAAAAGUAUGUGAAAAAAAUCACCCAAAUAACUUAACCAUAUCGACUGGGCCAAUAUUAAACCCAGCUCCAAAAAGUUCCAAAGAAACAAAGCAUUCAAACCAUGUUUCACAGGUUAUUUUAAUCACACAAAUUAUGAAGCAAGAACAUGAUACUAAAGCUGGAAUGAAUCGCCUAUAUUAUUAUUAACAUGACACUCAAAGCCCUAAUAUCAUUUAUAUUAAUCAAUCAUAACAACUCAAAAUCACACAAAACAUGUUGUUUAAGAAGGAGGAUUUCGACUAACUUCAAUUUUCAGGGCCAAAACAAACUAAAAAAUGAUUAAGGACUACUAAUAUUACUACCAUUGGUUGUGAACUGAAAAUUUUACCUUCAAAUUCCAUCAUAUCCCAAUAAUGGCUACAUGAACUAUUAUGAUUGCUGAAAAUACCCAAAUCACUACCUAGAACUUACUAAGAUGAUCAUGAUCUAUCACAUGUACACUAAAUUAAUGCUAAAUAUCCAAACCAUCAUGUUUACACAACAAAACCAAACGACUAAGCUAGAUAAAAUAGAAGUAGCAUACACGUGAGACUAUAGAUUUAACAUAUUGAACACUCAAAUUACAUCGUGAAGAACACAUUCUUUAUAGCUUCAACUUUGAGCUUCACAUACAAAAGAGUCCAAAGAGGUACCUGGAGACAGAAAAUAGAGCAAAAGAAAAGUGAGAGAAUCAGCAGCAAAAGAAGACGCGCUUCAACAGAUCAACACAACAAUUUGACUUCCUUAAACCAUUUUAACCCAGAUGAACCAGAUAUCUCAAAGUUUUGAACACUUGGACCAAUAAUGGAAAUCAAAGAACAGAGCCAAGGCAAGUUUAAAACCAAAAUACAGAAAAGGUUUUAGUCGUUCUUUUAGAGUCUGGAAAGCUUCUUCAAAAUGAAUGAAAGAGAUCCUUUUACAAGCAGUCUGAGGCAGCCCUAGCCUGACUAAAUAUUUCCUCUUUUACCCUCCCAGUUCAUGGUUAUUUUACCUCCUUAAACCCCUAACAAUAUCUAAAAAUUCUCUCUCUUUAACCAACCAGCCAAACCUUAUCCUCUAGAAGCUUCUAUGCCAACAGAAUAAUAUUUUCUAAGUUUCAAAAUACCCAGAUUAACCCUCUACCCCCUACAAAUUUACAUUAAGAAAAUCACAUGGGUCAAGUUCGCCUAAAACCCAAACCCAAAAGGAACUGGUUUCUUGAACCGGGUCGGUGGUGACCAAAACAAAGCCCACAUCCAAAACUUAUAUCAAACAAUUAGGCAUUUGAAAUUCAAACUCUGACCCAAACUACACUAUGGGUAAAUUGAAGAGAAAAAACAAAGAAGAAAGGAGCUGGAAUAAAGGAAAAUAAUUUUGAUGAUCCUUAAUAAGCUGAGCAAUAGUUCAAAAUUAAUGACUAACCCGGCCAAAAUAAAAAUCAAAUAGCAAAAUCAUGAUGAAACAAUUAAUCCUAAUCAUGCAUCCAAAUAGUUAGAAAUGUUGAUUAUAAGUAAACAAAAACUAAUUCACACCAAACAAACAAGAAUCUGAAAGACGGGCACAAUAAAGGAAGAAGGAAUGGUACUGGUUUUAACCAAAAUAAAUUGACGAAGGCGACGAACUUGGUGGGCGUCCAUGGUAUGGUCGCAGACUGGUAAUUCCCGGAGGGAGCCAAAACUACCUAAAUCCAUUGUUCUGAGCGAUAACAAUCAACUAACGUAAGUCUUGAGUCAAAUCAGGCCUCGGAGACAUGAAAAUUGACGUUAGGGAUGACUUAGAUUUUUUGAAUUCUCAAAUUUAGAAUUGAAGAGAGAAGGUGGGGAUUCUGGGGAAUCUCGUGUUGCCUUCAAGUUCAAUGGGGUUUAUGGGUUGUGGGGGAGGGAUUUGAAGGUAUUUGGUAGUGGUUUGAGGGUGGCGCCGCCGGCUCGAUGCGGUGGAAAACUAAGGCGGCUCUAGGGUUUGAGCGUCUCUGAAAGUGAGGGGGUGAGAGAGACGAGUGAAAAGGGGGGUUAGGGAUUCAGACACUUAAGUAUUAAGGACAAACCAGUUCCAAC